rnacentral:rRNA from 1 species
GAUGAACGCUAGCGGCAGGCCUAAUACAUGCAAGUCGAGGGGCAGCACGGUAGCAAUACUGGUGGCGACCGGCGCACGGGUGCGUAACACGUAUGCAACCUGCCUUCAACUGGGAGAUAGCCCGGGGAAACUCGGAUUAAUACCCCAUAACACAGUGAAACAGCAUUGUUUUAUUGUUAAAGCUCCGGCGGUUGAAGAUGGGCAUGCGUUCGAUUAGCUAGUUGGUGUAGGUAAUGGCUCACCAAGGCUACGAUCGAUAGGGGUCGUGAGAGGAUGAUCCCCCACACUGGUACUGAGAUACGGACCAGACUCCUACGGGAGGCAGCAGUAGGGAA